AAUAAGCGCUAGUUUUGAUAAUUUUGGACAAAAUCUUCCUAGACCCCUUCUCUCAUCACGCCCUCCUCCUCUUCGUAGACCUCUUCUCUCUCUCUUACUCGGUCUCUCUCUUCCAUAGCCUUCCUCCUCUUGGCUCAUCACGCCCUCUCUCUCCCGUAGGCUUCCUCCUCUUCGCUCAUCACGCUCAUCACGCUCGAACCCCAAAUCGCCCCAAUCUCGAACCCCACUGUCGGUUGUCUCUCUCCCUCUCCUUCUAAACGACGGGCAGCCACCACCCCCUUCAUUGUGCUCGUCUCUCUCCUUGAAAGUGAAUACACCUCAUGCCCCACCCAAUAUUACUUACUAGGCAUGGAGAGAGUGAGGAUAAUGUUAGAGGCAGAAUUGGAGGAGACAAUCCUUUGAGGUAGUUCCUCUUGUUUUGAAAUGGUCGUCGUCAUGGCAAGGUUGUUCGGUGUAUGGGGAAAGCGCGAGUUUGUGAGACGGGUACCUCUUCUUCCAGAUCAAACACAGCAGAGGUCGAUACAUUGAAGGAGGAAGUGACAACCCUAAGACAUUAGCUUGCGGUCCAGGGCAAGCAGAUGAGGGCCCAGGGCGAGGAGAUGAAAGCCUAUGCCGGGCACGUGAGAGACCUUCUACGAGCCAUACAGAUGUCCGACCUCCAAAUCUCGCUACCAGUACCUGAUCUUGCCACACCUUCGACCUUCGAGCUGUUUCACCCUGCCGAUACCCAGUAGCCACUUCACUUAGAAGACUACUUGUAGUUUUUUCUUUUUUUGUUCGGACAUCUUGUAUGUACAUUUUCAUAUAUUUUAUAAUUAAAUAUUUUUCUUU